CUAACAAAAAUAUAUAAGUAAGACUCAAUAUAACCAUUUUAGAAACUUUAAACAAUGUAGAAUCAUUUACAAAAACUUACAAAUUGAUAAGGUUGAGACUCUUGCCCGUUUUGCUUCCUCUUUCAUAUCCAUUUAUGGUUUAAAGUGCAUUUGAUGCCUACUACUACAAAAAAA
rnacentral:sRNA from 1 species